rnacentral:rRNA from 1 species
UACGUAGGGGCCAAGCGUUGUCCGGAUUUAUUGGGCGUAAAGAGCUCGUAGGCGGUUGGGUAAGUCGGGUGUGAGAACUCCAGGCUCAACUUGGAGAUGCCACCCGAUACUGCUCUGACUUGAGUUCGGUAGGGGAGUGGGGAAUUCCUGGUGUAGCGGUGAAAUGCGCAGAUAUCAGGAGGAACACCGGUGGCGAAGGCGCCACUCUGGGCCGAAACUGACGCUGAGGAGCGAAAGCGUGGGUAGCAAACAGG